rnacentral:rRNA from 1 species
UACGUAGGGUGCUAGCGUUGUCCGGAAUCAUUGGGCGUAAAGCGCGUGUAGGCGGCUCAUUAAGUCCGCUCUGAAAGCCCGGGGCUCAACCUCGGGAGGCGGGUGGAUACUGCUGAGCUUGAGUCCGGAAGAGGCGAGUGGAAUUCCCAGUGUAGCGGUGAAAUGCGCAGAUAUCGGGAGGAACACCAAUGGCGAAGGCAGCUCGCUGGGACGUGACUGACGCUGAGACGCGAAAGCGUGGGGAGCAAACAGG